rnacentral:lncRNA from 1 species
GGACGAUGUCUCUACAUACAUUCGAGAAGGUGGCUUUUUAUUUGAUGAGCGAAGUCCUCUAGAUCAAAUAGGGCUUGAGUCUUUUGAUCUCGCUUCAACCACCCGUCGUCCAGCUAUCACCGGAGCUAGCAUCAAUUGGUGCAAGUUCGUCAUGCUUCGCAUGCUCAAUGUCGUCGGGGACAAUAGACCCCUUCCUUAUGCGCUUCUUAUCAUGAAAAUUCUUGAAGCCUCGGGUAUUAACACCGCCAAUGGUCCAAUCGAAAGAUGCACCAAACAUUGGGAAAUUACUGCAUCUUCCUUACCUACUGUUGGUGAACAACAUGCUGCUCCUCCUAAUCCUACUCCUCAACCGCAUCGUGCUCAAGCUCCAACUUUGCAAACAGUUAUAGAUCAUUUCACUUCUUUGUCCACCUCCAUAAAUCGAAUUGAUCAAAACGUCAAUCGUAUUGAUCAAAAC